rnacentral:rRNA from 1 species
GACGAACGCUGGCGGCGUGCUUAACACAUGCAAGUCGAACGGUGAAAGCGGAGCUUGCUCCGCUGGAUCAGUGGCGAACGGGUGAGUAACACGUGGGCAACCUGCCCCUCACUUCGGGAUAACUCCGGGAAACCGGGGCUAAUACCGGAUAUGACCUCCUUGGGCAUCCUUGGAGGUGGAAAGUUUUUCGGUGGGGGAUGGGCCCGCGGCCUAUCAGCUUGUUGGUGAGGUAGUGGCUCACCAAGGCGACGACGGGUAGCCGGCCUGAGAGGGCGACCGGCGACACUGGGACUGAGACACGGCCCAGACUCCUCCGGGAGGCAGCAGUGGGGAAUAGUGCGCAAUGGGCGAAAGCCUGACGCAGCAACGCCGCGUGCGGGAUGACGGCCUUCGGGUUGUAAACCGCUUUCAGCAGGGAAGAAGCCGCAAGGUGACGGUACCUGCAGAAGAAGCACCGGCUAACUACGUGCCAGCCGCCGCCGUAA